rnacentral:lncRNA from 12 species
AGCAGAGCAUGUGUAGAGAGGGAAUCCAGGCACACCUGGAGACAAUUGCUUUUAAAGGAAGAUAGAAGAAUCAGAGCCUGUGAGGAAAAAGGAGACUCACAUUAAGAUAUCUUACUUUGUUGAACCUAGUUAUUACCACUACCUGUGAC